rnacentral:rRNA from 1 species
AUUGAACGCUGGCGGCAGGCUUAACACAUGCAAGUCGAGCGGGGUGAUGGUGCUUGCACUAUCACUUAGCGGCGGACGGGUGAGUAAUGCUUAGGAAUCUGCCUAUUAGUGGGGGACAACAUCUCGAAAGGGAUGCUAAUACCGCAUACGUCCUACGGGAGAAAGCAGGGGAUCACUUGUGACCUUGCGCUAAUAGAUGAGCCUAAGUCGGAUUAGCUAGUUGGUGGGGUAAAGGCCGACCAAGGCGACGAUCGGUAGCGGGUCUGAGAGGAUGAUCCGCCACACUGGGACUGAGACACGGCCCGGACUCCUACGGGAGGCAGCAGUGGGGAAUAUUGGACAAUGGGGGGAACCCUGAUCCAGCCAUGCCGCGUGUGUGAAGAAGGCCUUAUGGUUGUAAAGCACUUUAAGCGAGGAGGAGGCUCUUUUGGUUAAUACCCAAGAUGAGUGGACGUUACUCGCAGAAUAAGCACCGGCUAACUCUGUGCCAGCAGCCGCCGUAA